AACGCAUAUUGCACUUUCUGGUAUUCCGGAAAGUAUGCCUGUUUGAGGGUCAGUUAAAUAAAAAUCGGUGUUGUCGCUGCCUUUCGUGGUGACGCGUCGGAGCUGAGUCGUCUUACCUUUUGUGGUUAAGUGACUUAAAUUUUUCAUGAUUUUCGAACGUAUUUAAAUUUGCUUACGUACGUUUGAGAUAUCGAAUGUUUAUUAGGUCCGGUCAUCCUCAUGAUUCGCGCCUAUAAUUUUUCAUUAAAUGACCUCAAAUCAGGUAAGAAUACCCGCUGAACUUAA
rnacentral:misc_RNA from 1 species